rnacentral:rRNA from 1 species
GACGAACGCUGGCGGCGUGCUUAACACAUGCAAGUCGAACGAAGAGCGAUGGAAGCUUGCUUCUAUCAAUCUUAGUGGCGAACGGGUGAGUAACGCGUAAUCAACCUGCCCUUCAGAGGGGGACAACAGUUGGAAACGACUGCUAAUACCGCAUACGAUCUAACCUCGGCAUCGAGGAAAGAUGAAAGGUGGCCUCUAUGUAUAAGCUAUCACUGAAGGAGGGGAUUGCGUCUGAUUAGCUAGUUGGAGGGGUAACGGCCCACCAAGGCGAUGAUCAGUAGCCGGUCUGAGAGGAUGAACGGCCACAUUGGGACUGAGACACGGCCCAGACUCCUACGGGAGGCAGCAGUGGGGAAUCUUCCGCAAUGGACGAAAGUCUGACGGAGCAACGCCGCGUGAUUGAUGACGGCCCUCGGGUUGUAAAGCUCUGUUAAUCGGGACGAAAGGCCUUCUUGCGA